GGUGCUUGUAAGGAUUUGAGAAGUUUGUAUCAGGAAGUUGGGAGUUGAAUUAGAGGCAAUCUUACCAUUGAGACCAUGUAUUAUUUCUAUGGGACUGUGAAGUAGUUACUGUCCCAGUGAAGCUUUCUUUUUCAGGACACAAUGACUCUGAAACUUUAAGUCCAUUGUUUGAGUGAUGUAUUGGUGAAGGGGAGAAAUCCUGCCUCCUAUGCCUUAAUAGUCACAUCAAAUAAUUUGAAAGGGAAGGGUUGAUAACUUGAUGACCAACUGCAGCAUCUUGAUGAAAAUAUAUUCAAUGAAACUCAGAUUAUUUAAAAUAUAUUUCCUGUGACCAGCAUCAGUUUCCUCUAGCAAUCCA
rnacentral:lncRNA from 1 species